GAAACAAGUAAUCUUUCAAACAAUUAUUUACAGACAGAUUAUUUCACUUAUAAUUCACUGUAUCACAAUUCCAGUGAGUCAGAAGUUUACAUAAUGUCACAGGCGUCGUGUUGAAUAGACCAAGGCACAGCUCAUUCUGAAUACUUUAAUGAGUAACACUUACAAAAGAACAAAAAAAUGACCAACAGUUCCGGUCAGGUACAAUAACUAAACGGAAAAUAACCACCCACAAAACCCAAAGGAAAACAGGCUGCCUAAGUAUGGCUUCCAAUCAGAGACAACGAAAGACACCUGCCUCUGAUUGGAAACCAUACUCGGCCGAACAUAAAAACGAAACAUAGAAAUAUAAAACUAGAACAAAAUCCCCUAGAACCAAAAAAUCCCAAGACACACAAAACAACCCCCCUGCCACGCCCAUUCUACUAUGGCAAAUGACCCUUUUCACUGGUCAGGACAUGACACAUACACUAAGUUGACUGUGCUUUUAAACAGCUUGGAAAAUUCCAGAAAAUGACGUCAUGGCUUUAGAAGCUUCUGAUAGGCUAAUUGACAUAAUUUGAGUCAAUUGGAGGUGUACCUGUGGAUGUACUUCAAGGCCUACCUUCAAACUCAAUGCCUCUUUGCUUGACAUCAUGGGAAAAUCAAAAGAAAUCAGCCAAGACCUCAGAAAACAAAUUGUAGACCUCCACAAGUCUGGUUCAUCCUUGGGAGCAAUUUCCAAACGCCUGAAGGUACCACGUUCAUCUGUACAAACAAUAGUAGCAAGUAUAAACACCAUGGGACCACGCAGCCAUCAUACUGCUCAGGAAGGAGAAGCGUUCUGUCUCCUAGAGAUGAAAGUAGUCUAUAUCAUUUUGGCAAUUUAAUUCAAAUGACUUUCCUGAAAUUCUACCCCUAGCCUUAUGGACACUGCCUCUAUGCCUUUUAAUGUGGCAUAAACACAACCAGUCACAAUAUUUUUAUCUGAUUGUCAAUUACAUAAUAACCAAGGCGCUCCUGUGGCUACCCGCGCACAUUCGUCCACUGACAAAAAAUAAUUUUUGCACUGUGAACCCUCAAUUUGAUGAAUGGAAAGAGACAUCUGUUACAAAACACCUAUGUGUAUAGACUAUUUACUUGCCUGCCGAAAUUCUCCCCCCCUUCUAUCUUGGGACUGCGAGGCCUGACACACUUCAGAAUGAUUUUUCGUUACCUAUCAUGGCCUCUGAUGUGUGCCACAGGAAGUAUUAGACUCUAGUCACAAAAGGAAGUGGUUAUUUCAGCAAUAAUUGUCACAUCUGUCGGAAGGAGCGGACCAAGCCGCAGCGUGUAGAGUGCUCAUCUUCUUUAAUUAGAGUAAUGUGAACACUUAAACCAAAAUAACAAAACGACACACGACAGUUCCGUAAGGUAACAUAGACUAUACGGAAAACAACCACCCACAAACCCAAAGGAAAAAACAGGCUGCCUAAGUAUGGCUUCCAAUCAGAGACAACGAAAGACACCUGCCUCUGAUUGGAAACCAUACUCAGCCACACAUAGAAAAUGAACAUAGAAAAUGAAAACUAGAACAAAUCUCCAUGAAACAAACCAACCCCAAAACACACAAAAACAACACCCCCUGCCACGCCCUGACCAUACGACAAUGACAAACGACCCCUUUUACUGGUCAGGACGUGACAAUAAUAGUUUUCAGAGCCCUCUACUGUUCUCUCUACCCAUCCCUCAAUCCCCCAUCCCAUCGUGCUUUUCCCUCUUAUGGCUUUUCCUACAUUUUUUAUUUUUACACUUUUUCUGUUUUUAAGAAUGUAGGUACAGUGGUAAUAAUAAAAUAAUAAUAACAGUAAUAAAACAAAAAUGUGUAUUCUGGGCGAAAAAGAAAGUUCAACUAUAUAGGUCAACAUGAGUGCAUAUCCAUAAUCACAGUAAACUGUUAAAAUAAUAGAAAGAAAGUAUAGUAAUAUAAUAUAUAUAUAUACAUAUAUACAUACAUGUUCACAGGACACUCGUAUCUCUUAUCUCUUAUCCUACAUCAGAUAUGCAGGUGACGUUUCCACCUGGAUGACGGCACAUAAUCAGCAGGAUGGAGAUGCUCUUCAUCCGAGGGAAUGCCAGCCCAUUCUCAGAUGUUAGAUAACACGAGAUGAUCACACGCCAUUUACAUUCCAGCCUUUGUCAGCUCCACAUUUGACUACAUGCUGGAAUCCCUGCGUUCUCAGAUUCCCCUCUGUUAUUAAUCUCUACAUUGUAAUCAAUAAAGUUUUUUUUUUAAAUGCUGUACUUUUAUUAACAUAUAUGUUCAGACCAUUCCUGAGCGAGAAGGGGUGUAAUAUCUCCAGAUGGGCAUGUGGUACCCUUCCUCCUCCAUGCCAACAAGAUGUUUCUUCUUGUGGGGUCUUUGCCUUGAAAUUUGCUGAAUGUGUUCUGAAGGAGGAGUCGAUUCUCUUUUCAAAUACGGACAAAGAUGUUAACAUCGCGAGAGAUGAAAUAGCAGUCACUCUCCUCCAAAACACUGAUGACCUGAGCCAACUGUGCCACUUCUGUGGGGAGGUGGACAAUAAUGAGGAAGACACUAAUUGGAUUGGUUGUGACCGCUGCCCACGAUGGUUCCACCAGUCCUGUAUGAAACCCAUCCCAUUAUUGGAGGAUUAUGUCUG
rnacentral:lncRNA from 1 species